GACACCCUACUGUGUGCGAGUAAAGUCGCCAAAGUUUUGAGCUAACACUUAUUAUAUGGGAGCCUAACUUUAUGUGUGGCAUAGAUGCCCCCGGCCGGGGGACCUAUAAAGCAUAUAAGAGGGCACCCACCUGCCGGGAGAGCAGUUCAAAACAGCGGCCGAUACGUCACGGUGGGGUUGUU
rnacentral:other from 1 species